GAUGAACGCUGGCGGCGUGCCUAAUACAUGCAAGUCGAGCGAACGGACGAGAAGCUUGCUUCUCUGAUGUUAGCGGCGGACGGGUGAGUAACACGUGGAUAACCUACCUAUAAGACUGGGAUAACUUCGGGAAACCGUAGCUAAUACCGGAUAAUAUUUUGAACCGCAUGGUUCAAAAGUGAAAGACGGUCUUGCUGUCACUUAUAGAUGGAUCCGCGCUGCAUUAGCUAGUUGGUAAGGUAACGGCUUACCAAGGCAACGAUGCAUAGCCGACCUGAGAGGGUGACCGCCCCCACUGGAAGUGAGCCGCGGCCCAGACUCCUGCGGGGGGCCGCAGUGGGGUAUUUCCCGCAAUGGGCAAAGGCCGAACGAACCAACCCCGCGUGAGUGAUGAGGGUCUUGGGAUCUUAAAACUCUUUUAUUGGGAAAGAACAUAUGUGUAAGUAUCUGUGCACAUCUUGACGGUCCCUAAUCAGAAACCCCCGGCUAACUACGUG
rnacentral:rRNA from 1 species